rnacentral:piRNA from 1 species
UGGGCAACUCCAGAGGCCAGGUGAUUGU